GAGAUAAAGGCAAUGUGGUUGGUAGUGUUCAAGUGAGCGGAACCUUACGAACUGAAUUGACCAAAAUACCCUUUCUAUCAUCUUACUUUCUGAAUUUAUUUUUUGAGAAACUAGUUUUGAGGUAGAGAGAGAGAAAGGAGAUAAAAAGGGAAAUAUCAGAAGGAAAGAAAGGAAGACUGUUCGGUAAAGUGGGGAAACCAAAUCAGAAUCAGAAUCCAAUCUUAAUCGAGAUGCUUUCAUGGCGAGGAGAGAAGGUUGAGGAAACAACGCAGAAUCAAAGGAGGAGAAAAAUCUGCACCAGAGAUAUACAUAGCAAAGAAGAAUGAAAGCAGCUAAAAAAUUGAGAGGAAGAAAGUAAGAAAUUACCUGAUGAAGGGAAUGGAAAGUGGCUUCAGAGGUAGACAAUGUGAUGGUUUGUUAUGUUAAGAACCUUAACUGAACUGAACGAUCACACUCUCUUGUCUUCCUUUUUUUCUCUGACUAUCUUCUCACCUUAAAACUUUC